UGGGGAAUAUUGGACAAUGGGCGCAAGCCUGAUCCAGCCAUGCCGCGUGAGUGAUGAAGGCCUUAGGGUUGUAAAGCUCUUUCGCCGGUGAAGAUAAUGACGGUAACCGGAGAAGAAGCCCCGGCUAACUUCGUGCCAGCAGCCGCGGUAAUACGAAGGGGGCUAGCGUUGCUCGGAAUCACUGGGCGUAAAGCGCACGUAGGCGGAUCGUUAAGUCAAGGGUGAAAUCCUGGAGCUCAACUCCAGAACUGCCCUUGAUACUGGCGAUCUCGAGUUCGAGAGAGGUUGGUGGAACUCCGAGUGUAGAGGUGAAAUUCGUAGAUAUUCGGAAGAACACCAGUGGCGAAGGCGGCCAACUGGCUCGAUACUGACGCUGAGGUGCGAAAGCGUGGGGAGCAAAACAGGAUUAGAUACCCUGGUAGUCCACGCCGUAAAACGAUGGAUGCUAGCCGUUGGGGGGUUUACCUCUCAGUGGCGCAGCUAACGCCUUAAGCAUCCCGCCUGGGGAGUACGGUCGCAAGAUUAAAACUCAAAGGAAUUGAC
rnacentral:rRNA from 1 species